rfam:Photobacterium profundum SS9
UCCCUCUUAGUUCAGUUGGUAGAACGCCGGACUGUUAAUCCGUAUGUCACUGGUUCAAGUCCAGUAGAGGGAG